rnacentral:rRNA from 1 species
AGUAACGCGUGAGGAACCUGCCUCAAAGAGGGGGACAACAGUUGGAAACGACUGCUAAUACCGCAUAAGCCCACAGCUUGGCAUCGAGCAGGGGGAAAAGGAGUGAUCCGCUUUGAGAUGGCCUCGCGUCCGAUUAGCUAGUUGGUGAGGUAAUGGCCCACCAAGGCGACGAUCGGUAGCCGGACUGAGAGGUUGAACGGCCACAUUGGGACUGAGACACGGCCCAG